rnacentral:rRNA from 1 species
AACGAACGCUGGCGGCAGGCCUAACACAUGCAAGUCGAGCGCCCCGCAAGGGGAGCGGCGGACGGGUGAGUAACGCGUGGGAACGUGCCCCUUUCUACGGAAUAGCCUCGGGAAACUGGGAGUAAUACCGUAUAAGCUCUACGGGGGAAAGAUUUAUCGGGAAGGGAUCGGCCCGCGUUGGAUUAGGUAGUUGGUGGGGUAAUGGCCUACCAAGCCGACGAUCCAUAGCUGGUUUGAGAGGAUGAUCAGCCACACUGGGACUGAGACACGGCCCAGACUCCUACGGGAGGCAGCAGUGGGGAAUCUUAGACAAUGGGCGCAAGCCUGAUCUAGCCAUGCCGCGUGAGCGAUGAAGGCCUUAGGGUUGUAAAGCUCUUUCAGGGGGGAAGAUAAUGACUGUACCCCCAGAAGAAGCCCCGGCUAACUCCGUGCCAGCCGCCGGGUAAGAC